rnacentral:lncRNA from 1 species
CUGCAACAGGUUUUCUCGCAAGGAUUUCACAAGGUCUUCGUUCAGCCACGGGUUUGGACAAUGCGGAUUAUCCACUUCAGGCAUCUCACUACAACGACCUUAGAGGUGGCAUAAACUGAAAUAUAAAAGCUGGGUCUAUCAAGCAACUAAAAUCUGAUUUGAUGGUUAAAAGCUGGAAAAAUCCAAGAAUGAAUGAAAGAGCUUGUAGAUAGGCCCAGACAGUGGGCAGCAUGGCUCUUCUCCAGCCUGGGACACAGCUCAUCACUCAGGGUGGAUCCUGGAGAGAAGCUGCCUGAGUUCAGCCUUUGCCUAUCCCAGUACUCACUGUGUGCACCCAGAGGAGCUUCUGUGUAUCUGUGAGACCCUGUUUCCUCAUCUGCAAUACCAGGACUCAUAUCCUAGCGGGGCUCUGAAAACUAGAUCAGCUAAUGUAAGGCUUGGCCAUGUAUUUUCUCAAGAAUCGUUGCUGUGAAAGAGCCAGUGAAGUCACAGAGGGUAAAGUCAAUGGUCAACCUUCCUGAUUAAUGAAUAUUGAUUGAGCAUUCACCAUUUAAUAGUUAGCUCCUUCUAAGUCUAAUCGUUUUUAGUUUCUCCUGACACCUGUCAUGUAAGAGGCUCUAUAUGUGAGGAUAGACUUAGGGGGCAGUUGGUUCCUCUUUUUGGACACAGAACAGGAAGAAUAAAGAGAUCUCAGAAGGAAAAGGAAAGUGGGAGGAGGCUGGGUCUGUGGGUUCCCCGGUGGAUCACGCUGAAAGAAUACCUGGCAGACACUUAAUCUCUGCGGCAAAUGCAUGAAAGUAGAAGGAUGAAGCCAACUUUCCAAAAACUUUUAUGAAAUUACUUCAGUGAGAAAACCUAUUAAAUAAAUUACAGCCAUUCUAUAAAAA